UCUCCGUUGGUGAACCAGCGGAGGGAUCAUUACCGAGUUUACAACUCCCAAACCCAAUGUGAACGUUACCAAACUGUUGCCUCGGCGGGGUCACGCCCCGGGUGCGUCGCAGCCCCGGAACCAGGCGCCCGCCGGAGGAACCAACCAAACUCUUUCUGUAGUCCCCUCGCGGACGUUAUUUCUUACAGCUCUGAGCAAAAAUUCAAAAUGAAUCAAAACUUUCAACAACGGAUCUCUUGGUUCCG
rnacentral:misc_RNA from 1 species